rnacentral:lncRNA from 1 species
AGGAAAGUCAAAAUCAGUCUAAGGGAAAUGAAAAGAAAAAAGUUAAAAGAUGAAAAGUCCAAGUUACAAAAACUGACUUGAAGCCUACCUCCAGAAAAUUUUCCUCCAUAAAGGUAAAAGAGGGAAUAAAAAGGGAGGGAGUUCUUCCCAUUCAUAUCCAUCUUUAUAAUUACUGUGGACAAAGGUCAGCUUCCAGGAGCCAAGAUGGUGGAGUAAGAGAGCACAAGGGAAGCAUCAUUUCAUAAGGAAGGAAAUGAAGAAAUAAGCCAAUCUUCAUCAGCAAUUUCAAAAAGUCAUUGGAGCAGGUGAUUCAGAACUCAGUUAAUCAUUCACGCUUACUUGGAAGUUGUUACUAUAAAAUUA